rnacentral:rRNA from 1 species
UUGCAUCAUGAUUUACUAUUUAGAGUGAGUGGCGAACUGGUGAGUAACACGUGGGAAACCUGCCCAGAAGCGGGGGAUAACACCUGGAAACAGAUGCUAAUACCGCAUAACAACUUGGACCGCAUGGUCCGAGCUUGAAAGAUGGCUUCGGCUAUCACUUUUGGAUGGUCCCGCGGCGUAUUAGCUAGAUGGUGGGGUAACGGCUCACCAUGGCAAUGAUACGUAGCCGACCUGAGAGGGUAAUCGGCCACAUUGGGACUGAGACACGGUCCAAACUCCUACGGGAGGCAGCAGUAGGGAAUCUUCCACAAUGGACGAAAGUCUGAUGGAGCAACGCCGCGUGAGUGAAGAAGGGUUUCGGCUCGUAAAACUCUGUUGUUAAAGAAGAACAUAUCUGAGAGUAACUGUUCAGGUAUUGACGGUAUUUAACCAGAAAGCCACGGCUAACUACGUGCCAGCAGCCGCGGUAAUACGUAGGUGGCAAGCGUUGUCCGGAUUUAUUGGGCGUAAAGCGAGCGCAGGCGGUUUUUUAAGUCUGAUGUGAAAGCCUUCGGCUCAACCGAAGAAGUGCAUCGGAAACUGGGAAACUUGAGUGCAGAAGAGGACAGUGGAACUCCAUGUGUAGCGGUGAAAUGCGUAGAUAUAUGAAGAACACCAGUGGCGAAGGCGGCUGUCUGGUCUGUAACUGACGCUGAGGCUCGAAAGUAUGGGUAGCAAACAGGAUUAGAUACCCUGUAGUCCAUACCGUAAACGAUGAAUGCUAAGUGUUGAGGGUUUCCGCCCUUCAGUGCUGCAGCUAACGCAUUAAGCAUUC